GUUAGCAACAGGCGUUUCUCAUCAUUUUUUUAAAUGUACACUUAGUAUACAUGUAUUCAUUGUAAAUAUGUUUUUGAAGAAGGCCCCGAGGGAGAGUCGUGCCCGCGAUAAUCAGCUUACGUUCUAUAAGUCCUGCAUAAAAGCCACAAGAAUUGGUCUGGGGUCCACCCUGGGGAGACAGUGAAUGUCCCGAGCCCUCAGGCACACAUUAGGGUCAUAAUGAAUGAGAUCGGACUACAUUUUAGUGGAUUUACCCAAACUUGGUCUGUCAGAUAUCAGUGUUGGUACAGAUUAAAAAGGAUAUGUAAACACUCGGUCCCCCAGGGGUUUAAAAUGGAUUUGAUAGUAUAUUACAUCAUCCUCAGGAAGUCGAUAACCGUACUGCAAAAUAUAGGCGGAACCUUAACACAGCGUUGCUAGGUAAACUUGACGGCGAGUGUCGGACAGGUCGAGCUGACUAUGAGUGACCACCAUCAUACUUACCUGUAGAACUGGAAACCUGAUGGUGGAUGCUGUGAGGGACAUGUGGAGUUGUGUAUGGGUGACCACCAAGUCUAUCUCUGUAAAGAAGUGUAGAGAAUCACUGCCACUGAAGAAAAAUACCAGGAACGACAACUCAAACACAGUACUUACUAACGGCGUUAAGUCUUACCCUGAAUAAGCCAUUGUCCUGCUUUGUUCCAGGAGGGGGCGAUCCUAGCCAACAAUGUGUAGUGUAGGCAUGACUGAAACAGGGCUGAUGUCACAGCCUGAGGGUCACUGGACUAAACAUAAUGACAUUUAAGAAAUAAAUUUCAAUUUUGUAAACACACGAGGGCAUGAACUGCGAUGCUUUACGCCAGCAGUAUACAGGAAUCAACAUCACAAUGAAUUGUGUCCAUUUACCUAACCUGCAUUGUAUUCACUUUAUGUAUAACUUUUGUUUAUAUUCAUGUUUAUUUGUUCUAUGUAAAAACGUUAAACCUAUAAACUGUAUGGUUCUUGGUAAUAAACAAUACAAUACAAAAAUA